ACUACGGGCGGUAGCAGUGGGGAAUAUUGGGCAAUGGGCGCAAGCCUGACCCAGCAACGCCGCGUGAAGGAAGAAGGCUUUCGGGUUGUAAACUUCUUUUCUCAGGGACGAAGAAAGUGACGGUACCUGAGGAAUAAGCCACGGCUAACUACGUGCCAGCAGCCGAGGUAAUACGUAGGUGGCAAGCUUUAUCCGGAUUUAUUGGGUGUAAAGGGCGUGUAGGCGGGAGCGCAAGUCAGAUGUGAAAACUCAGGGCUCAACCCUGAGCCUGCAUUUGAAACUGUGUUUCUUGAGUGCUGGAGAGGCAAUCGGAAUUCCGUGUGUAGCGGUGAAAUGCGUAGAUAUACGGAGGAACACCAGUGGCGAAGGCGGAUUGCUGGACAGUAACUGACGCUGAGGCGCGAAAGCGUGGGGAGCAAACAGGAUUAGAUACCCGGGUAGUC
rnacentral:rRNA from 1 species